CCGUAUUGUUCUAUUUUUGUUAAAAUUCUCUCUUCAAACUUCCGGGGACGCCAAGCAAACUUUCUCUCCUCCCUUAGACCAUCUUCUUCAUUCCGUAUAAAUCGCUAUUUUUCUGUAUUGUGUCACCGGAAAUGGCGAAGACAAUCUUCGCCGGAGCUCCGAUGACGUUGACUAGAAGAUUAUUGGAGCUAGUUCAGAAGCCCUAAAUUUAGGAUUGUUUAGAUUCUAUUAUAUUGAUAUCCAGGUGUAAUCAAAAUGAGGAGAUAUAUUGAAAUACGUGGAUGGUUGGGGUUGUUCUUCUUUGCUUGCUUGUUAGUCUGCUCUAUUGGAAGAGAGCCGAAGUUGAUGGAGUACAGGACAAAUAGUUCAUUUGUUUACAACCACACUUUUGCCAUUGUCAUGGUUGAAUAUGCUUCUGCAGUUUACAUUUCUGAUAUGACAGCAUUAUUUACGUGGACAUGUUCAAGAUGCCAUGGCCUCACUGAGGGGUUUGAAGUUGUGCAGCUGGUUGUAGAUGUUGAAAGUUGCUUACAGUCAUAUGUUGGAGUAGCAAAGAAUCCACGAGCUAUUAUAAUUGCAUUCAGAGGAACCCGGGGAACAAGCAUACAGAAUUGGAUAGAAGACUUAUUCUGGAAGCAGCUAGAUUUAGAUUAUCCUGGAAUGCCGGGUGCAAAGGUACAUAGUGGAUUUUAUCGUGCUUAUCAUUGUACAACAAUACGCCCUGCAAUUCUAAAUGCAGUUAAAGAAGCAAAGGAAGUUUAUGGGGACCUUGACAUUAUUGUGACGGGGCAUUCAAUGGGAGGAGCAAUUGCUGCUUUUUGUGCUCUCGAUCUUAUAGUCAAUCAUAAUUCCUCAAAUGUUCAAGUUGUGACAUUUGGCCAACCUCGCAUUGGCAAUGCAGCUUUUGCAUCAUACUACAGCAAACAUUUGCCACAGACCAUUCGAGUCACACAUGGACAUGAUAUCGUGCCCCAUUUGCCUCCUUACUUUUCCAUGCUCCGUCGGAAAACAUACCAUCACUUCCCAAGAGAGGUAUGGCUUCAGGAUACUUCAUCUACAUCGACGUGUCUUGCCCUCGACUCUGAGACAGUCUGUGAUGAUUCUGGUGAAGACCCAAACUGUAGCAGAUCUGUAGUUGGAAACAGCAUCCAGGACCAUUUAUCCUAUUAUGGGGUGGAAUUCCCUACAGAUGAUCCUGGAACAUGUUGGAUUGUGAUGGAUCCAUUGCUGGUCGAGUAUGGAUCGGUUGAUUCGGAAGGUAAUGUCAUGUUGUUCAAGAAUCCUGCUAUUCCCAUUUCUCGGGCACAGACUGCGGAGGCAAAAUGAAAUAAAUUGGUUCUGAUUAAGGAGACUACCCUGCAAGAUAGCUGAGGGAGGAGGGAAGAUGUGACUUGCUAAACAAAUAACCUCCGUCUCCGAUGCUGAAGUUAGUUCUAAGGUUUUAGGAUGCAAUAAGAGUUUAGAGAAGGAGAAUUGUGCUUCGGAUGCUUCAAGUCUCCCGAUUCUCACGACGUAUAUAUGUGCAAGUAUGCACCUGCUUGGGCCAAUAAAAUCCACCUCAGCGCCUUGAUUGAGGUGGCGGGAAAUUUGAAUAGGAAAGGACAAAGAGUCAAUACGUAAAGUGAAGUGUCCGGUCCAUUAUUCAAUGCACCUAGAAGGAGACGACUUAGUCGGAUGACAGAAGGAGCUCAGAAAGGUAGCAAGGUGGCAGGCCUCUUCAACCCCAGGAUGUGAUGAGUUGACAUCGAGGUACCAAACGAUUCCGUCGAUAAGAGCUUUUGGGAGUCAUCAGCCUAUUAUCCCCAGCAUACCUUUGAUCGGUUGAGCGAGAGUCCUUCCACACGGAACUCUUGGAUCACUAUGUCCGACUUUCGUCUCUGUUCGACCAGUGGGUGUCACAGUCAGACAGGCCAAUACUAUUACGCUCACGAGCAGAAUCUUAGCUGCACAAUUAUGGGUCGUGGCGUGUCUUGUCCAAGGCCUAUUUGGGAAUUGAGCUUAGCCUCAAAUUUGUCCAUCUUGAGGUUAAGUAGUCCUGACAUUGGUCUGAUUUCACCUAAGCUCAAAUUCACCUAUAAUAUGAAGUAAACCACUGCCAAGUUGGGAUUUAUGAUUCAUAUGGAGGGUUUUCCAUGGGCUGGACAUUUAAGAAUUCAAAUUGGUUGAGCACAAACUCUAAGUUGAAUUGUCUUCUACUUCUACUAAAAUGAGCAUAGUUCAACUGACA